UUUCCGUAGGUGAACCUGCGGAAGGAUCAUUAGUGAAUUAGGGUGCUCUUAAUUGAGACCCAACUUACACUUUCUAACACUGUGCACAAUUUAACUGAGUGUAAUGCGUUCUGGGAAGAACAAAUUACCUUGGUCCCCUUUUUAAACUCUACAAGUUUAUGAAUGUAAUUAAUCAUAAUAAGAAAAACUUUCAACAACGGAUCUCUUGGCUCUCGCAUCGAUGAAGAACGCAGC
rnacentral:misc_RNA from 1 species